ACUAUUAAAAGAACUAGAAAGACUAAUUAGUCCUCCCUUAUGAACACACCAACCCUAGGUAGGUGGAGACCUCACUUGGAAAGCUUCUUGAUGUCUUGAGCGAAUACAAACUGUCCAUUAUCUUUCCCUAAUAAUAAAGCAGCUAUUGCUUUUGCCCGCGUGCUCACCGCCGCAGCUGUUUUGCAAAAAGCCCUUCUGUUGUUUGGUAAUUUAACCCGCGUCCCUUUUCAAGUGGAUCUGGAAAAACGCUUCGUUUUUACAAAAAGCCCCUCUAAUAAAGUAAAACAACCAAACCUACCCUCGGCCUCCUCCCCUGCUCUGCCAUCGCCCGCAGAAGCCCACCCAAGCCCUCGCUCGCUCGCCGAGAUUCAUGGCGACCGAUGCGGCUGGGAGCGAACGCGCACGGGUGGGGGAGUUCGGCGAGCUCUUGCGGACCUGCUGGCCAUCGUGUGAGCCAGCAACCGCCGCUGCCGCCAGCAGCAGAAGCAGGGGGCGCGGGCGGAGAUCCCUUCGUGGGGCCGGCAUCGGCCGAGGAAGGCCCCGAUGGCGCUGCCGGAUGAGAAGCCCGCGGCCGAUGAUGAUAGGAGCGAGGGCAUCGCCAGCCCGGACACCCCGCUCGCCUUCCCCGAGGACGACGAGCAUGACGAGGCGGCGGCGGCAAAGGAUGAGGCCAAGGCCAGCGCACAAGACAAGUGGUCGAGGUGGAGCUAUAGGCCACCAAGGUUGCCUAUGUCGUGGGAUGAGGAAGAGGAUGGCGAAUGGGAGACACCGAAGAUUGACAACACUACUCCCCAAGUGUGAAGAGGCACCUGGUUGUGGUGAAUGGAAGAGGCCGAUGAAGCAGAAUCCGUCCAACAAAGAGAAGUGGCAUGCGCCCCUGAUUGACAAACCCAGAUGUUCUAAUGUAUCAAACGAUGCCAUGAUAGUUGGCAAUCAUGCUUCAAGUAUGAAAUCAGCUCAACCAUCUCCAAUAGUCUUCUUUCUUGCUAUCCAGGUCUUAAAAGAGCAGAAAAUCUUUGAACAAGGGGUGGAUGGGAGUACACAGUUUGGUCCCCUGUGCAGAAUAAAACAGUUUUAUGAUACAUAAGCUACAAUUUUCAGAACUGAAACACAGGAUUGCGCUGCCUUGCCCUGCCCGAUCGACGCCGGCUACAUCGCUACACUCCCCAUGGCCAGGUAAGCGCCUAGGCCAAGUAACAAGUUAUCACAUCUUCGUGAUCCAAUUAAAUGUGCCAAUGGACAAGUACGUACCAUCCUACAGAUAUUGUUGUCAUUGUUCUUCUAUUGUCAGUACGACAAAAAAAUUAGAAUUCAUCCAGUCCACGCCCUCCUCCUUAGUGCACGAUGGUGAUGUGUGUGUGUGUUGUGGUCAGCUUGCAGUGCCAGAUAGUUCACAGUCCCAACUCCAGUGUUAACUCUGUUAGUCUGUUGCACCUCUUGUAUUUCAAAUUUAGUUGGAACUGUAGAUUUGAGUUUACCAUUUUUGUAGAUGCCACGGGAAUUCAGAGAAUCCUAGAAACUUCUAUGUGGUGCAAACAAGUUUUAGUAGUAAGCUAUAGGUUUUUCAUAUAGGUUUUCCCCUACAAAAUAUUUACUUAGGUUAAGAGGUUGUAUGAUUGGAUUCAGCCUGGAAACUUUUGUGCAGGACCAUAGCUUCACCCCAAAUUGCUCUAUUAUGCUCGGCUCCAUGUAUUCACCCUUUCUAAUAUAUAGCUAAAUUUAAAUGCUUCUAUCAUCAUUUUGCCAAUGUUACUCUCCAUUACUUUAUGCACAAAUUAGCUCAUAGCUGUAUUUCCGAGUUCUAGGAUGCUAGAUUUUUUUUCUGUUGACAAUCUUGUUUAUUUUUUGUUCAUUUAGCUAUCAUGUUUUUUAUUUGCGAUAGAAUACUGAAAGAGUUUGUUCACUCCAUGAUGAUAUAAAUAGGAAAAAUCUUGUCAUUAUGCCCUCCAACAUUAGCAACAUAUAACCCUUGUUCUGGUUUAUUUUCAAGAUGGUAAGCUACGCACGCUCUUGCUGUUCGCAGGAUUGCAUUCACCAAUCUAAUGCCCUCAUUGUUGGUUUUGGCCAGCUAUCUGAGCUAAUGCAGAAGCAUGAUAUGUUGCCAAUCCUUGUGUCCUUUGCAUCUUCAUGCUCAUCGCAAGUAGUUAGUCUCCUAUUUUAUGGUAAUAUUCUGAUCUUUUUAUGUGAUUUCAGAUGCUAUAUAAGGAACGUGCGUAGGCUGAGGAUUCUAAGCUAGCCACCUUGUUUUCCUCACAUGGGGAUAUUGAUGUAUGAUGCGGGAGAUAGAAGUCUUGUCCAUGGCCUUUUGAUUGAUGCAAAAUUUAUUCGAUGUUGUAGUAGGGACAUGCCUGAUUCACGCAAUUCCAAUGACUACUUUUUGAAAGUUAUGUUUCUGUAAUAUUUGAGCUUAUGUCUACACUUAAAUGAAGAGCAUCAGAUAUUUGUAAACCAUUAUUUUGCUUAGAAAGGUUCCUACAUAAAAAGAAUCCACUUAAGAAAGCAGAGUCGUUCGUGUGCUUCAUAUAAGCUAUAUACAUGCCAUCUCACCAAGCACUAUUAACAUGUUCUUUUUUCAAGAGAGCAUAUAUGUUUCUUCUUUUGUCACCAUGUCUUCACGAGCAGCCGUAACCCACACGCUCCUCAUUUCCUAGGUACAUAUUCUUCCUGCAUGUACCUCAGUGCAUGAUUUUCCUGUACAUGGAGCCAUUCAUUGGAAAUGCCUUCUCUUACACCUUGUGAUGGUGCAGACUUUGCAAGUGUUCAAAGAAAUGAUGUGCUAUUCAAGGGGUUUGGGAGCACUAAUAAAGAAUCUCUUGCUGAACUUUUUGUACCGCUAAUGAGUCAAGUCGUCCCUCUGCAUCCCGAACUCCAAAAUGAGCAAGUCAGAGACUAACUCUAUAAAGGACAGCCUGGGAUGAAUGGUGUACUUUUGCAGCUCUAAAACAAAUGAGAAGGGAAAUUCAAGAAAUCAAGGGGAGUUGUGGACUGGGUGGAGAUGACAAGAGGGCUGCACGAGUUAAGUAAGUGGCAGCAGAGGUUACUGAAUGCCGCAAAGCAUCGUGGAAUAAGUGGACAAGCAAGCAGUUUCUACCAGCUUUAACUGCUCAUAGCUGAGAGAGGAUAUCUUCUCUAGAGGAUUUGCUAAUAUAGUACACCACAGCUUAGCUACAGCAACUGUGUCACCCACUGGAGGUUGACAACCCCGACCUAAAUUGGCAGUGGGGCACAGAACACUGGGCUAGUGUGCUGACUGAUCCCGUUUGCCACUAUAGAGAUGUUUCCAGCAAUGGUAUGUCUACCAGAACCAAUCGCAAUGGGUUAACAUGGAUGGAGGAAGAGAAGGUUCACUGAAUAGGGUGUAACUCUUUUAAAGAGCCAGCAUGUCGUCCAUGCUCAACUGUCAGAACUCACAAAGUUAACUCAUUGUUUACAGUAGCUAUAGAGACAUAGAAUAGAUUUGUGCACAAAGAAAAGACGCAGCAUAAGGAUACCUAAAAGGAUCAAACAGAAGGGAGAUUAGAAAAGGUUAUGUAGGAAGCUCACAUGAUCCUAUGACCACAAAGAUGAAGAAUCCAAGCACGAUAGGUCCAACAGGAUAGUCAUUCCCCUUCUUCACAGUAGUUUCAGGCACUGAGCCCCUCUUUGUGACGUUCUUCUGAAACUUCGCACUCUUCCUGUCAGCAA